UUGUAUUUUUGUAAAACUAAAAAUGGGCAUUUGUAGUAUUCUGGAAUACCUUAAAAUCGAUAUUAAGGUUGACAAAAGUCAAAAACUAAUCAUCAAAACUGUGUGUUUGACCUGAAGCUUGUCUGUCGCGACACAGGAUAAUGUCAUUAGCCAAGUUUUGGUAUUCAAGCUGAGUUGUAACGCAACUCAAAUUUGGUGCACUGCAAUGAAGACGAAUGGGUAUUUCAACUGGCGUUCUGAAUUUCAGAUUUGCGUCCAUCCUUGUUAAUGAAUCUCAAGUUCAAACUUUCGCCAAGGUGGUCCUCUCUCUCCCCUUCUUUUUACCAUUGAAAUGGAAGCUCAUAGCGUCGCUUUGAUGUGUCACAAGAAAAAAAAACUCUUUUUCGUGGCAUUAAAGUUGGAAACAAUGAAUUGAAGUUCACAUCUCACACCUACAAUUUGGAGAUGAUGCUCUCAUUAUCGGAAAUUGGUUCCUCCCAAAUGCACAAAACCUUUGCCGUAUUCUUAGAUGCUUUUAUUUAGCUUCCUGUCUAAAAACAAAUUUUUCAAAAAGCAAAAUUUUUGGUCACGGUGUCCUGACUAAUGAAGUUGAAAUGAUGGCUUCUAUUCUCUCUUGCGAUGCAACGAUACUUUUGAUCUCGCCAUGUCAACUAAAAUCUUGGCAGAGGGUCAAAGCAUCAACUCCGGAUUCUAUUCUUGAUAGUCUGCAUUACUGUCAACAUAGGCUUCUCCAACUGAUGUGGUGGUACAGACUACCUUGUAGGCAAUCAGGAGAAAAACCGAAACUUGAGUUUCUGUCAACUUAAACAGUCCAAACCUAAAGCUGUCUGUGGUGAUAUGAUAUUAUUCUCUUUUCUUUUAACUGAAUUAGCAUUAGGAACAGACAUUGUAAGAUUAAUGACUUGAUAGGCAAAAGAUAAAUAAAAAGAUGAGAUAGUGUUUUGAGUUUUGACUAAUCGAAAAUGUAGUAAUAAAUUCAUAAAGUUACAAAGCCAAACCUGAAGCUGGCUGUCCAGAGAAAGGUUCACCUUCUUUUGAAGAGACUUUAAUCUCUGUCUCAUCUCAGUACCUUCUUUGUCGAUGAUUCCUCUUUUUAUUGCUCUUACGAUUUAUUCUCCUUCCAUCAUGUUAUUCAGCAUCAAACCUGUAGUCCAAACAUCGCUUACAUAUCUCGUGUUUCUUGUUUGAUCAUACGCGCAAGGUGCCUCCUAUCGUCUGAUGAGCUAGUGCUUCUUGUUGAGGAGCCCACUUGACAAUGCAUCAUCUUUCACCUACGUCAUCUAUGAAUCAUAAAGGCAAUGACUCGAGCCAUUCAGAACCAGAGUCUGAAUCAGGUCGAAAGACCUAUAGGAUAGUUGCUUGCUCUGUGCCAACCCUCAAGCCAUAUUAGUAUACUCUGCUUCACCCAUGUGAGCUACACUCUCAAAACUCACAUAUAUUACAGAGCUUAUUGGUAGGAGAUCUUCCAUAACAUAUAGCUUCAAUUUUGUUCUAAUUAAGCGAAUGAUGAAUUAAGACGUGUGAUGCAAAUCACUGAACAUUUGUUGCUUGCAAUAUAUGAAUUGAGGAUGGACAGAUUUACUCCAACAGAAUUUCAAACUUCUUCUGAGUCAAAGCUGUUAUAGGUGCAAAAGCUUUGAUCGGCUCUUCUUAAAUAGUGGUUCUAUCCUAGGGAGCUUCAUACUGUCUGCAACAGACGGAGUGAAGUGCCAUAGUGCAUCUGAGAUCAAGCAUGGCACAAAACCCUGUUCUAGCAAUGUCGCCAAGCAAUCCCGAACGAUGGAAUGCAGCUUUUGUUCAUGAAAUUGAUGAUAGAAUUAAGGGUGUCCAGAUUCACAUUCUCGUUUAUGGUUUUGGACAAUCCAUCUGAUAUAGAUUUGAAGGUGACUUGUUGGUAGUUUGUAUGUUUUGGAAUGUUGAAAUUGGUGUGUAUGACAGUAAUCUUGAAGCUUUCCUCUCCUUUAGUCGUAAAAAAUAAUAAUGCGAGUGCUGAAUCAGACGUUUGAUGCAAAUCGCUGAACAUAUUGUUGCCUGAAAAAUAUGAUUUUGGAAGCUUCUGAUGAGGCUAACGAAGUUGAGUAAAGCUACAAACACUAUAUUUAUGAUAUCAGAUCUAGGUACACACUAUGGUCACGGGGUGAUGACCAGGGUGAUGAAGGAGGCAAGGGUGGGCUGGUGUGGAGUGUGAUCCUCAGUUCCACGCCUUAGUAUGGGAAACCCAGCGGCACCCCAUCUCUAGAUGAUCGGUUGAGAACCGGAGCAAGCCCAUAAACUUUCUUUUGUAACUUGGGAUUGAACAUACAUAUAUGCUCAAAUCCUUCAUUGUCAUGCGAGUGAAAUUUGAACUUGGGUUGGUGAAAAAGAAAAUAAAAAGAUCAGAUAGUGUUUUCACUAAUCGAAAA